rnacentral:misc_RNA from 1 species
CCUAGUCUAGGUACCUGAAAUCAGUGGAAGGUCCGAAAGCAAACAGAUAUAGAACAUUUUGUCUGCAAAUGUGAGGUUUUGUUCCUAAAUUUAAGUUGAGUAAAAGAGUGCUACAAAAACUAAUUUUGCUAUAAGAGCAAGAAUGAAGACGUCUCAGAGUCAACAUCUUUGGUUGGUGAUCUUCAUUGCACUUGUAGUUCCACCAUCAACAGCUCAAGAUUUGAUAACGUCUAAUCAGUGCUUUGGAAUAUCCAGAGGUAAACAGUUUACCAUAGCAUUCAUUGAAAACCUGACCGAUAGGAAUAUUGCAAGUAGACGACUCUUCAUUUUAGUGGUAGCAUUUAGUGACCAACAAACUGAAGUCACAAUUAGCAGUAAGCACCCAGUAGCUGGCAUGCCAUUCCAAGAGACUUUCAUGAUUGAGGCCCGUGGUUUUAAGCGAACAACCAUUCCUUCUGCAUAUAUGUUGUCUGGUACAGGGAGAAGCUUAAAAGCAAUCAAGGUUUCAGCAUCUAGCGACGUGUCUGUCUACGGUCUUAUGUAUCAACAUUUUUCAACAGAUGGCUUUCUCGGCAUACCCAUAACAAAUCUUGGUACUCAGUACGUAGUGGUGACGUUUCAAGACCGACCUGAAGCAUCACAGUUUGCAGUAAUUGGGACUCAGGAUUCUACAACAGUUCAUGUUACCUUACGUGACACCGUUUCAUUUGAAGGUCAAACCUACAAUCAAGGUGACGUGUUGACGAUUAUGGUGAAUGAGUCACAAGUGGUUCAGAUCCAGAGUACAAAUGACCUAUCCGGGAGCAUUGUUCAAAGUGACAAAUCUGUGGCAGUAUUUAGCGGCAACGAGUGCGUAAAUAUACCAGGUUCAUACUGUGACACACUUAUAGAGCAGUUGGUACCCAUCAAUAGUUGGGGACAGACACACAUAUACACUGCAUCUCAAAACAGCGACACCAAUAUUUAUCGAAUUAUUGCCUAUUUCAGUGGUACGAAUGUUACCAUUCCUGGAGUUCCAAAUCAGAUUCUAGACUCAGGUGAAUUUUGGGAAGGACGUUUGCAUAGUUCAGGUCUUGUUUCAUCAAACAAACCUACACUGAUGGUGCAGCUGUUAUCAUCUGUCAAUGGUGGAACAGUCGACCCUUCUUUGAUACAUAUUCCAUCAGAGGAACAAUUUGGAUAUGUGUUUGGGUUUACAACGCCCCCACAUUCGGGAGGGGACUCUGGAGGUUACUUUAAUUUCAUUAACAUUGUCACUAAAAGAGACGCUCGUCAGACAGUGCAUCUCAAUGGUUCCCCAAUCAAUGGUACAAAUAUUCGCGAAAGUAAUGUACCCGGUACGGCAUAUUCAUUAAUUACCUUACAGCUACCUAAAGGAGAAGGGGUUUACUAUGUUGAACAAACUGAUCCACUUGCAUCACCAUUAUCCGUCAUUGUCUAUGGAUACGAAAAUGAUGAAUCAUAUGGGUAUGCAGCUGGGUUGUCUCUUCCAAACAAUAAACAGCUCCUGAGUUUCACACCAUACUAUUUCCGAGAGAUGGGUGGAGAAACUCUUACAAUUACUGUACCCUGUCUUGAAACCAACUCUAUAGCACAUCAGAGUGCAAUGUGCAAAUUUGACACUGGUAUCGGAGAUGUACUUGUGCCUGGAGACCGCGUUGACCCUUAUAUUGUCAGCUGUAUCACUCCUACCUUCUACAAGAAUGGACUGACACACGUGUCUGUCUCACUUGAUGAUGGCAACACGUUCCCUUACUCUGGCAUUGUCUACGUAGCAUCGCAAGAAGACUUAGGGCAACUUCUGACUGUUAAACAGGAAAAUUGGGAAGAAAGAGGUGAGGUUAUCGAUCUCACAGUGCGCGAUCCCAUUAUUUUAUCAUGGGAUCCUGAAAUCAUGGGUAAAGACGUAACGGAAGUUGAUGUCAUGAUUCAAGACUCGGAUAUUAACAACAACGACUUUCCAGUUUUGAUGGAAGAUAUCACUCUUAUGAAAAAGGUCCCAAACACCGGUAGCGUCAUCAUCCCUACAUCGGUUCUAGCUUCACAUCUGGGUAAUGCAAUAAAAAGAGGAAAAGACUUGUCGAAUGUAGCAUUUCACAUAAAACGUGUCGGGAAAGCUGUCACUUCAUUUGUGAGUAAGGUGUAUUCGAAAAUAACCCUACUAAUCAAAUCAAGUCUUGAUAGUCUUUGUACAGAUUACACCAAGAUAUUGAGUGAUGUUCCAAAGGAUGUUCCUGCCUGCCCAUGUACUUUAGCUCAGGCUAAUGCGAAUUCUGACUUCGAAAUAUCAAAUUUUUGGAAUUCUUUCUUUCACAAAGGGGCUGAGAACUGCAUCAGAUCAACAACAUCAACCCCAUCAGGCUCUGGCCAACAGUGCUGUUACGGAACAGAUGGUAACAUCUUAGUCGGACCUCCGGGUGGAGGAACUGCUGACAGAUACAGUCCAGUGGAUAACUUCUGGCGCCAUCAAAAGUAUGACGUUCUACCGUAUAUUGCCUGCUGCAAAUUAUCAAAAAACUGCGAUAAAUACUAUAAAACCCGGCCAUCAGAUGAUUGCUCAGAUUAUGACCCACCUAGACCAGCAGGAGGUAUGGGAGACCCUCACGUAACAACUCUUGACGGUAAGAAAUUCACUUUCAAUGGAGCUGGGGAAUUCCUGAUGGCGUCUUCCAAAUUAUACAAUUUGAUCUUCCAAGCUCGUAUGGAGGUGUAUCUUGACACCCUGGCCACUGUUUACACAGCAUUUGUUAUUCAUACCAAUAACUCGGCGAAAGUCCAGGUGCAGAUGUCAAAUAUCAAUGAGACACUGGUUCUUAUCGAUGGUGAGCCUUUGCGGCUAUCUUCCAGUCCACUUAAAGUUCAUUAUCUAAAUGGGGUGCGCGUAAGUGCGAACGACGAUUUAUCUGAAAUUAGGUUCGUUUUUAAUGUUGGUAUUGCUGUUAUCAUCUACGUAAACUCCGAAGUCAUGUCUUUUAUUGCUCAACUUGAUACAAGGUUCAAUGGUCAAGUCAAGGGACUUCUUGGUAAUCUGAAUGGAGAACCGCACGAUGAUCUUCAGUUUCCAAAUGGUACCAUCAUGAACAGUAAUUCUUCUCUACAGAAACUCCAUGAAUACGGUCUAGAAUGGCUCGUGGCUUCAGAGGACUCAAUCUUCACAUACAUAUCACCUUAUGACUACACUACGUACUAUUUCCCGGAAUUUACUCCAACUUUCGACGUCCCUGAUCUUGAUGUUGUUAGUCAGGAAAUCAAAGAUUUGUGUGGCGAUUCCUUUGAAUGCCUGUUUGAUGCAGUGACGACCGGCAGCCUGACAUUCGCAAACAAUACCCGAGUGGUGUUAGCUACCCUGGAUAUCAUUCAAAAAUCCUCUGUCAAAAUUAUUAGCUGUGGUUUUCCGGGAGAUGUAGAGAAUGGUCAAAUGUUUGGACAUGUGUAUCUGGUGAACUCAACCGUGGAGGUCUCUUGUGAGAGUGGUUACGUCUUAGAAGGCUCCUCUAGCCUAACCUGUCAUGAGGAUGGCCGUUGGUCCACUGAUCUUCCUCGAUGUGAAAGCUCUGGUAAAGGCUUAACAAUUAUAUUGGCAAUUGUUAUCAGCACAUUGAUCAUUCUUGCUGCUGCUUGUGUUGCAAUUGUCAUUUGCUUGAGGAAAAAAUAGCCUUGUGGCUUCAUGCCAACCAGCUAGCAAAAUAUGAGCCACCAGUUAGAAGUUUUUUUUUUAAAUUUUUUUUUAUUUCUUCAUAUCACAUUUACAAAACAUACAGAUGUAAUAAAGGUGAAAGGAAUGAACGUAAGUUAAAAAAUUUGGACCAUUCUGCAUCGAAAAUUGUAUGCUUUUCUUUCUGUAUAGCCACUUAUCUUAAAACACUUAGGCCUAAAUGAUUUUAAGGUACAAAUUUAGUGCUCUGAUAUUUGGAAUAUUAUUAAUAUUAAUUGUUAGAAGUUCUUUUAUAUUUUUUUAAAAUUUUUAAAAUUUCUUCAUAUCACUUUCACAAGACAUAGAUAUAAUAAGGGUGAAAGGAAUGCACGGUAAAGCUUAAACCAACAACAUAUUUGAAAAAUAAUACAGUAACAAUUUAAAAUAAAUUUUAAAAUUUUGCCCAUUCUGCAUCAAAAAUUUUUUGCUUUUCUUUCUGUAUAGCCACGUAUCUUUAAACAUUUAGGCCUAAAUAAUUUUUAAGGUACAAAUUUAGUGCUCUGAUAUUUGGAAUCGUUUUGCCUACUCUGUAUUUAUAAAUUAUGUAAUUUAUAAUAAUAAUAAUAGUACUUACUGAAAAAUUUUGUUCAAUAUCACAGAAUAAAAUGGACUCUAAAAUGAAAGAUAUAUUUCUAAACGCUUUUGAUACUUUCCGUUCAAUAUGUAUCCAUAUUAGUUGAACAUAUUUACAAUUAAAGAACAAGUGAGGAAUCGUUUCAGGUACGACAAAAGUACAUUUCUCAUUCCGAGAUAUUCCAACUUUACAUACAUUUCCACAAAUACAUUUGUGGAAAUUAUUCUGUGAUUUAUCCUGUAUUGGAACCACUGUAGAUUAUUUUCCCCUCAACAUUUAAAAGGCAGGAUAUACAUGCAUUUCAAUUCCUCAAUUGUCUUAUUUAUCUCGAUUUUUUCUUUCCAUUUUAUCAUGCUUUUUGGUAUAAUAAAGUCUAAAGAAACAAUUUUGUUAUAAAAAUGCUUACAUCCCUUUGAGAGGCUUUAACAAGCAUAUUGAUAUGAAUGCAAUACAGUGCCAUC